AAGGUUUAAACAAACAAUGUGAAUACCAUCUUAAGGACAUGAAAAUUACUAUAAAGGUUUACCCUCUCCAACCUUAAACCCCCAUUCUAAGAAACUAUAGGAAAAAGUUUACCAACUCUGAAAAAAAAUACUUUGACCUAAGUUUAAUUGUUUUAAUAAAUUGGCAACUUUAUCUUAAACAUUACAUCAAAUAUAUAGCAUGAGAGGCAUCCAAGAAAUGGAAUGAUUCAAAAAAUUUUCAGAGUGGGUAAAUAUUACCAACUUCAUUGACCAUGAGUACAAGAGCUCAUGUCUUUAAGCAUGUUAGUUUGCAUUAUAAAACUUGAAUAGGACCAUCCUUUAUCAACUGAAAACUGAACAGGAAAAACAAAUACUGCUAACUUUACCACCGAAAAUGCACAAGAUCGAACAAUGUGUUUGUGUUCAAAAGAAUGCAGUUCAUCCCCUGUUAAUGCAUCCCACACUUUCCUGCAUGUGCCAUUGUUGAACAUGUUAAAUUCUCACCAAUUAGCUGCAAUUCCUUCACAGUAGUAAUGAUUAUAUCAAUGUAACAAAUGACGAACACAGACAUUACCUAUUCAACAACUAGGAAACUCAGCACUUGAUCUCAUGAAACAUGAUUAUUACAUUACAAGAAAACAAAUCCAUCUUAUAUAUAAAUAGGAACAGCUAACAGAGAUAGCAUAUAGAAUUGUCUGUUAUAUGCAUAUCAGAUAAAUCACAUUAUUAACAUCUUCAAGCCUCUAGCAAACAAAUAAAAGGAUAACAUGGUUAGCCUCCAAUUGAAGAAUGACUCAGAUGCGACAGGUUUUCGAGGACUAUAAGAAGCUCAUGCAAAACAUGAUGUUUAAGUUCAUUCAGCAAACAACCAAAAUGUAAAUGCAUUUCAAGAAGCCUCUGCCUUUGUAAAAGACACAAUAAUGGUACUAAGGAAUGAAAUAAGCAUUGUUCUUCCCUUUUCUGAGCUCUUUUUAGUCGGCUAAACAGAACAGGUGAUUGUAUUU
rnacentral:misc_RNA from 1 species